UGGCCAAAAUCUUUGUUUCAGU
rnacentral:miRNA from 1 species